CCUACGGGAGGCAGCAGUGGGGAAUAUUGCACAAUGGGGGAAACCCUGAUGCAGCGACGCCGCGUGAGGGAAGAAGUAUUUCGGUACGUAAACCUCUAUCAGCAGGGAAGAAAAUGACGGUACCUGACUAAGAAGCCCCGGCUCACUACGUGCCAGCAGCCGCGGUAAUACGUAGGGGGCAAGCGUUAACCGGAUUUACUGGGUGUAAAGGGAGCGUAGACGGCUGGGCAAGUCUGGAGUGAAAUCCCAUGGCUUAACCAGGGAACUGCUUUGGAAACGGUGCAGCUGGAGUGCAGGAGAGGUAAGCGGAAUUCCUGGUGUAGCGGUGAAACGCGUAGAUAUUAGGAGGAACACCAGUGGCGAAGGCGGCUUACUGGACUGUAACUGACGUUGAGGCUCGAAAGCGUGGGGAGCAAACAGGAUUAGAUACCCUGGUAUC
rnacentral:rRNA from 1 species